rnacentral:rRNA from 1 species
GACGUAGGGCGCGAGCGUUGUCCGGAUUUAUUGGGCGUAAAGAGCUCGUAGGCGGCUUGUCGCGUCGUUCGUGAAAACCCGGGGCUCAACUCCGGGCUUGCGGGCGAUACGGGCAGGCUAGAGUUCGGUAGGGGAGACUGGAAUUCCUGGUGUAGCGGUGAAAUGCGCAGAUAUCAGGAGGAACACCGAUGGCGAAGGCAGGUCUCUGGGCCGAUACUGACGCUGAGGAGCGAAAGCGUGGGGAGCGAACAGG